UUUUAUGGAGAGUUUGAUCCUGGCUCAGAGUGAACGCUGGCGGCGUGCCUAAUACAUGCAAGUCGAACGAUGAAGCUUCUAGCUUGCUAGAGUGCUGAUUAGUGGCGCACGGGUGAGUAACGCAUAGGUUAUGUGCCUCUUAGUUUGGGAUAGCCAUUGGAAACGAUGAUUAAUACCAGAUACUCCCUAUGGGGGAAAGAUUUAUCGCUAAGAGAUCAGCCUAUGUCCUAUCAGCUUGUUGGUAAGGUAAUGGCUUACCAAGGCUAUGACGGGUAUCCGGCCUGAGAGGGUGAACGGACACACUGGAACUGAGACACGGUCCAGACUCCUACGGGAGGCAGCAGUAGGGAAUAUUGCUCAAUGGGGGAAACCCUGAAGCAGCAACGCCGCGUGGAGGAUGAAGGUUUUAGGAUUGUAAACUCCUUUUGUUAGAGAAGAUAAUGACGGUAUCUAACGAAUAAGCACCGGCUAACUCCGUGCCAGCAGCCGCGGUAAUACGGAGGGUGCAAGCGUUACUCGGAAUCACUGGGCGUAAAGAGCGCGUAGGCGGGAUAGUCAGUCAGGUGUGAAAUCCUAUGGCUUAACCAUAGAACUGCAUUUGAAACUACUAUUCUAGAGUGUGGGAGAGGUAGGUGGAAUUCUUGGUGUAGGGGUAAAAUCCGUAGAGAUCAAGAGGAAUACUCAUUGCGAAGGCGACCUGCUGGAACAUUACUGACGCUGAUUGCGCGAAAGCGUGGGGAGCAAACAGGAUUAGAUACCCUGGUAGUCCACGCCCUAAACGAUGGAUGCUAGUUGUUGGAGGGCUUAGUCUCUCCAGUAAUGCAGCUAACGCAUUAAGCAUCCCGCCUGGGGAGUACGGUCGCAAGAUUAAAACUCAAAGGAAUAGACGGGGACCCGCACAAGCGGUGGAGCAUGUGGUUUAAUUCGAAGAUACACGAAGAACCUUACCUAGGCUUGACAUUGAGAGAAUCCGCUAGAAAUAGUGGAGUGUCUGGCUUGCUAGACCUUGAAAACAGGUGCUGCACGGCUGUCGUCAGCUCGUGUCGUGAGAUGUUGGGUUAAGUCCCGCAACGAGCGCAACCCCCUUUCUUAGUUGCUAACAGGUCAUGCUGAGAACUCUAAGGAUACUGCCUCCGUAAGGAGGAGGAAGGUGGGGACGACGUCAAGUCAUCAUGGCCCUUACGCCUAGGGCUACACACGUGCUACAAUGGGGUGCACAAAGAGAAGCAAUACUGCGAAGUGGAGCCAAUCUUCAAAACACCUCUCAGUUCGGAUUGUAGGCUGCAACUCGCCUGCAUGAAGCUGGAAUCGCUAGUAAUCGCAAAUCAGCCAUGUUGCGGUGAAUACGUUCCCGGGUCUUGUACUCACCGCCCGUCACACCAUGGGAGUUGUGUUUGCCUUAAGUCAGGAUGCUAAAUUGGCUACUGCCCACGGCACACACAGCGACUGGGGUGAAGUCGUAACAAGGUAACCGUAGGUGAACCUGCGGUUGGAUCACCUCCUUUCUAGA
rnacentral:rRNA from 1 species